AGAGUUUGAUCAUGGCUCAGGACGAACGCUGGCGGCGUGCUUAACACAUGCAAGUCGAGCGGAAAGGCCCUUCGGGGUACUCGAGCGGCGAACGGGUGAGUAACACGUGAGUAACCUGCCCCUGACUCUGGGAUAAGCCUGGGAAACUGGGUCUAAUACCGGAUAUGACCUCCUGCGGCAUCGUGGGUGGUGGAAAGUUUUUCGGUUGGGGAUGGGCUCGCGGCCUAUCAGCUUGUUGGUGGGGUAGUGGCCUACCAAGGCGACGACGGGUAGCCGGCCUGAGAGGGCGACCGGCCACACUGGGACUGAGACACGGCCCAGACUCCUACGGGAGGCAGCAGUGGGGAAUAUUGCGCAAUGGGCGGAAGCCUGACGCAGCGACGCCGCGUGGGGGAUGACGGCCUUCGGGUUGUAAACCUCUUUCAGCAGGGACGAAGUUGACGUGUACCUGCAGAAGAAGCGCCGGCUAACUACGUGCCAGCAGCCGCGGUA
rnacentral:rRNA from 1 species